CCUACGGGAGGCAGCAGUGGGGAAUCUUCCGCAAUGGACGAAAGUCUGACGGAGCAACGCCGCGUGAACGAUGAAGGUCUUCGGAUUGUAAAGUUCUGUGAUCCGGGACGAAGGCAUUUGAUUGAGAACAUUGAUUGAUGUUGACGGUACCGGAAAAGCAAGCCACGGCUAACUACGUGC
rnacentral:rRNA from 1 species